CGGUUGCUUGCGAGAUUAUCAAAGCCUCAUUUCACACACACACGAGAAUCGAAACGAUUACUCUAGAAGGAUAGGUUUCAUCCCUUCUUCCUGUCCGUUCCUAACGUGGCUCGUGAGCAACUACCCUCUCA
rnacentral:ncRNA from 16 species